CCUACGGGCGGCUGCAGUGGGGAAUAUUGCACAAUGGGCGCAAGCCUGAUGCAGCCAUGCCGCGUGUGUGAAGAAGGCCUUCGGGUUGUAAAGCACUUUCAGCGGGGAGGAAGGCGGUUAGGUUAAUAACCUCAUCGAUUGACGUUACCCGCAGAAGAAGCACCGGCUAACUCCGUGCCAGCAGCCGCGGUAAUACGGAGGGUGCAAGCGUUAAUCGGAAUUACUGGGCGUAAAGCGCACGCAGGCGGUCUGUCAAGUCGGAUGUGAAAUCCCCGGGCUCAACCUGGGAACUGCAUUCGAAACUGGCAGGCUAGAGUCUUGUAGAGGGGGGUAGAAUUCCAGGUGUAGCGGUGAAAUGCGUAGAGAUCUGGAGGAAUACCGGUGGCGAAGGCGGCCCCCUGGACAAAGACUGACGCUCAGGUGCGAAAGCGUGGGGAGCAAACAGGAUUAGAUACCCGAGUAGUC
rnacentral:rRNA from 1 species